rnacentral:rRNA from 1 species
UUUGGAUGGGCAUGCGUCUGAUUAGUUAGUUGGUAGUGUAAUGGACUACCAAGGCGAUGAUCAGUAGGGGAACUGAGAGGUUGAUCCCCCACACUGGCACUGAGAUACGGGCCAGACUCCUACGGGAGGCAGCAGUAGGGAAUAUUGGUCAAUGGAUGCAAGUCUGAACCAGCCAUGCCGCGUGCAGGAAGAAGGCCUUCUGGGUUGUAAACUGCUUUUGCCAGGGGAUAAAAUUCUCUUGCGAGGGAAAUUGAAGGUACCUGGUGAAUAAGCCACGGCUAACUACGUGCCAGCAGCCGCGGUAAUACGUAGGUGGCAAGCGUUGUCCGGGUUUAUUGGGUUUAAAGGGUGCGUAGGCGGCCCUGUAAGUCAGUGCUGAAAUAUCCCGGCUUAACCGGGGGGGUGGCAUUGAUACUGCAGGGCUUGAGUGAACUCGAAGUAGGCGGAAUUGACGGUGUAGCGGUGAAAUGCUUAGAUAUCGUCAAGAACACCGAUAGUGAAGACAGCUUACUAGGUUUCAACUGACGCUGAGGCACGAAAGUGUGGGGAUCAAACAGGAUUAGAUACCCUGGUAGUCCACACUGUAAACGUUGAUUACUCGCUGUUGGCGAUACACAGCCAGCGGCCAAGCGCAAGCGAUAAGUAAUCCACCUGGGGAGUACGCCGGCAACGGUGAAACUCAAAGGAAUUGACGG